AAAGAAACUAACAAGGAUUUCCCUAGUAACGGCGAGUGAAGCGGGAAGAGCUCAAAUUUGAAAUCUGGUAGCCUUCGGUUGCCCGAGUUGUAAUCUAGAGAAGUGUUUUCCGCGUUGGCCCAUGUACAAGUCCCUUGGAACAGGGCGUCAUAGAGGGUGAGAAUCCCGUCCUUGACAUGGACCCCCAAUGCUUUGUGAUACACUUUCAACGAGUCGAGUUGUUUGGGAAUGCAGCUCAAAAUGGGUGGUGAAUUCCAUCUAAAGCUAAAUAUUGGCGAGAGACCGAUAGCGAACAAGUACCGUGAGGGAAAGAUGAAAAGCACUUUGGAAAGAGAGUUAAACAGUACGUGAAAUUGUUGAAAGGGAAACGAUUGAAGUCAGUCAUGCUCUUUGGAUUAAGCCGUUCUGCGGUGUAUUUCAUUGAGCGGGGUCAACAUCAGUUUUGAUCGCUGGAAAAGGGCAGGAGGAAGGUAGCACUCUCGGGUGAACUUAUAGCCUCUUGUCGUAUACAGUGAUUGGGACUGAGGAACGCAGCAUGCCUUUUGGCCGGGAUUCGUCCACGUACAUGCU
rnacentral:rRNA from 1 species